UUCCUCAUGGUCCAGUGGUUAAGACUCUGAGCUCCCAAUUCAAGGGGCCUGGGUUUGAUCCCUGGUCAGGGAA
rnacentral:tRNA from 1 species